AAGAUCUGGGCCGAACUUCCCGGGUCUCUCCACCCCGAAGGCCCCCCUGACCUACCCCAGGGCGGGCCAGUCUCCCCUUGGGGGGCCAGGGCCAAGAAUGGGCGCGUCAACUGGAGCAAAUUAACACGUAGGAAAACACCCCAGCACCUGGAGAAACAGCAGCAGGGGCCGGGGGAGGGCGGCCAGAGCCUUGGAAGUCAGAACCCGACCGGAGCGAUAAUUCACCGGAGUGUCCGCAGCCUCCCGCCCGCCCCCCACCCCCGCCGCUCGGCCUCUGGUUUCAAAGGCGGACAAACAGAGCACUGUGCUGGUCCCGGCUCCCUCGCUAAAUCUUCCUGUCUUCAACUUCUUGUAACUUGAGCCGGCUGAGCUGACCCUCCCUCGGAGGCCUGAAGGGGCAGCCUCAGUGCCCCAUCUCUGGCUGGCUCUCCCCUUUCCUCCACUUCGGGGUCUCCGCAGGCCGGAUGUUGCAGUAAAGGAAACCUUUGCUUUCA